CAGGCUGCAACUCGCCUGCACGAAGUUGGAAUUGCUAGUAAUCGUGGAUCAGCAUGCCACGGUGAAUACGUUCCCGGGUCUUGUACACACCGCCCGUCACACCAUGGGAGCCGGUAAUACCCGAAGUCAGUAGUCUAACCGCAAGGAGGACGCUGCCGAAGGUAGGAUUGGCGACUGGGGUGAAGUCGUAACAAGGUAUC
rnacentral:rRNA from 1 species